UCCACAGUAAAGUAAAUGAAAGUCCCUGUAGUGUGAGUGAAGAAACAGCCAAAGUUUGAUCCCACAACACAUUGCCAGCCAUUCCCAUAUUUCUUAUCAAAAUCCUGUCCAUGUAAACUAACAACAAUCAGAAAUCCCCGAUAAAUAUACUGAAUUAUACGAUGAUUAUGAGUGUGAUUGUCUACCUUCUUGAUGUGUGCAGCAAUGGAUUUGCAGUCAAGAACAUCAUAAACAUCAAGUGCUUGAGAAGCUGAGGCCAUGGCUUGGAUCUGCAUCUUCAGUGGCAUGUCUGUGUCUUCUAUCAGAGCUUUCCCCUCCAGCAUCUUCCUGUUAAAGUCUUUACUUGGGUGUUCUUUUUAAUGGAGCUCUAGUUUUUCUUGUGAGUCUUUAGUGAAUGCAGGAGAGACAGAAAGCUACAAGUAACUGUCUCACAAGUAUUUAUUUUUAUUUUUCCUUUCUGUUAAAAAGUGUUUACUAAAGAAAGUACUGUGCAGAUGGGGACUAGAGAAUUCAAAGCUAAAAGAGUCAUCCUCUUCCAAAUGUCAAGGAACCAUUUGAUGUGGAUUCUUAUGAUGGCACGUCCCCCAACCUCUGCUGUCAUUUCUUC
rnacentral:lncRNA from 1 species